rnacentral:rRNA from 1 species
UACGUAGGGUGCAAGCGUUGUCCGGAAUUAUUGGGCGUAAAGAGCUCGUAGGCGGUCUGUCACGUCGGCUGUGAAAACCCGGGGCUCAACCCCGCGCUUGCAUUCGAUACGGGCAGGCUCGAGUUCGGUAGGGGAGACUGGAAUUCCUGGUGUAGCGGUGAAAUGCGCAGAUAUCAGGAGGAACACCGGUGGCGAAGGCGACUCACUGGACACGUAUUGACGCUGAGGUGCGAAAGCGUGGGGAGCAAACAGG